GAAGUAGCUAAUACUGGAUCAUAAGGAUCAAAUGUCUGGCAAUGUAAAUCAGACUUAUGAUGCUCAUAACUGAAUGAAUUCUUCUAAGAGCUUCAGAAGCUACAGAAUCUACUGUUCAAGAGGAUAUGCAGAAGGAAGGCUAUUUUUCAUGCUUUGGAGAUAGAAAAUGAAGAUGGCCAUGAUGUUGGCAGGAAAGAGAACUGAUUUUGCAAUUUGGGAGAUGGAAAAGAAUAUGGCUAGCCAACUAAGUUGGAUUUAAGCAGUUUUGGCUGCUAAAGAGGGCUUAUCCACAUGAGCAGCCACCAUUUCUUGAGGUCAGAACUGGAAAUGGAAUUGAAAGCUUACAGCAGUAAGGAGAUUGUCCAGUGGGAGCAGAGGAAGAGGUCAGAAUAACAGCCUGAAAUCUGGAGUCAAUACAAGCUGAUGCCAAAGUAUCAUAGUCCAGACAGAAUGUCUUAGAACAAGCUGACCUAACCAUAGAACAGGAUUCACUUAAAUAAACUCCUACUUGCCUCUUUGUACUGGAACUAAAAGGGUUAAAAGAAUGGCAGAAGCGAACAAACUGUUCCCAUGGCAACUUUAUUUUGGCACUGAAGCUUCCAAGCAAAUGACAAUCCUAGUGGAUGUUUAAAGAGCAAGAUAUCAUAUGUCUGUCUGAGAUGCUUUCCAAUUUCUGAAUACUGUCUGGAGAAGACUUCCUUUUAGAAU